GUAUAGAGCACAGCGCCCACAUUGGCUUUUACAAAAUAUGCGGUCUUUUUUAUAACGAAUGUUACUGCAAACGCGCAUUGUGAAGUAUGUUAUUCUUUGUUAUUGAGCUUGCUUGUAAUAUGUUCUAUAAGAUAUUGAUGAUGCUCAAAAGUAUUCUAAUCGAUCAACAAGGGCACUUUAUAAACAAAGGGAUUAUAUUAUCAACUGCACUAUAUCAAUGUUGCUGUGUGUAUUCAAGACAUUGAAGUGAUUCAUUGAAUUGGAAUUUCAAAUACUGGUAUUUGUCAAGGAAGUAAUGUAUGUAUACUUACCAAAUGCUUUUGAUAAACUGUGAAAGUUCAACUCUUGUUGCUUCACUGAUAACUUCUUCUACAUGACCUUCCAUAGGAUCAAGGUAGUAUACCAUCUCUUUUUGUUUGUCGAUUACCUUUAAAAGUGACAAUAUUGAAAAUAAUAAAAAUUUGUUGCCUUGUCUUAGCUAUGUUGCAUCCAUAUUGUAUUUACCAAAAGUGUCCAAUGGCUCCCAGACAUAUUGAGAGGAAAUAUUAUUGUGUCAAUUGCCAUGAAAUUUUGAUCUGCCCACAGUCGACGUGUACUAGAUCCUCGUUGCACCAACUGACAUACAUAUGAUUCUGCUGGUAGGACACCAGGAUAUUCACAUGAAAGUUUCCAUAAGAAAGCGUUGAUAACCUAUAACAAUCAGGCUCAAUUACCAUUUCAUCAUUUGUCUCUGAUGCAUGAUAAUCAUAUGUAAGCUGUAGAGUGUUUAAUCACUUGACUUACUGUAUCACUAAGCCAUCCAGGUGCCACAGUUUUAUUUUCAAUUAGUGUGGCAGCAUAUUUAGUCAUCUCAUUUGGUGGAAUGAGGGUCCAUAAAUCCUGAAGAGUCACUUUGUUUGGUCCAAAUUCUAGCAUUUGAUCACCUAACUUAAUUCCAUUUAGAGAGGCAUUCAGUAAGGGAUCCAGUGGAUUUGCCUUGUGCUCAGCUGAGACGUCAACACUACAGUUGCCAUUUAGGAAAAGAAAAGUGGACUAUGUGUAAUGGUAUAGUCCUCACUCAUAUUAAAUAAUUACUACAUAGUAAAUAUAAAUACUACACUGAAAUGUUACUACCCCCCUCUCAUCAUUGCACAAAUAUUUUUGGAAAAUUUUUCUCCAUUCAAUAUUUCUCUAUUGCUAUAUGUUUGUACCUGCUUGAAUUUCUUUUUUCAUUCUCCUGGUUUUGCACAUUAGUGGACACCUAUGGAAAUAAAAAGACUACUUUCAGAAAAUACUCGUGACGAGAUGUAAUCUAAAGAAUUACGAACAACUUUUUCAAACGUUGUUUUUGAGUAUGGCAAAAAUGAGUGCGAUUUAGAAGACAAAAACCCACAAUUUGGUGAUGCCCUUCGUAUCGUAUAUCUAAUGGCUGGUGAAAAUUACUUUUGAAACAAUACUUUAAUAAGAUAUUGGAAAGUAAGAUAAGUGCUUUUGUCUUUUUACUCUUUUCGGACGGAUAAGAAAUUUUUUAAACAUAAAAGUAAUAAUUUGAGAGAAGCUUUUUUAAGAAAUGACAAGAAAGCAAUUCAAUAACUUGUCUUACUUGUGCCAUUUCAUCGCCCACAUUAGUAAGAUCUAUUGUAAAUGGUGUAGAUUUUUUUGUCUUGCGUCGUCUGGGAGGUAGGGCCUUAUGAAAGAUUUGAUGGUAUUUUGUCUCGGUAACCUUUAAUUUUUUUUUCACAGGACUCAAUCGAAGAGGCAAACCAUUUUCUGUGGGAAAGUUUUGUUCAAAAAACUGUUUCAAGCUUUCAGCUUUUUGCACUGCUUCUUGUAGAGUGGUCUCGUUGUCGAUCAGGAAGGUCAUACUGUGUAUUUGGCCCAGUUGUUCUUGCAAGAUCUUUCUGAGCCUUUUGGAACUUUUGUUUGAAGUAGUUUCAAACUUAACUGUUUCUUCGUGGGGUAUGUCGUGGAUAUAUUUUUUGUUAUCAGAAGACAACGAUUCUUGCAAAACAACGUCUCUUUUGAUGGUGCUCCAUGAUGACGCAUUGGCUUCCUCAAGUUCUUCUGGCGUAGUAUCUUGUGGCAAUCCAAGAGGUUCAUUGUCGAGAGUGAAGAAAACGCUAUUUCGGUAGUGUUCUGGAAGACUUUCGAAAUCCCACUCGUCAUAGAAAGAAAAAACUGCGAAAAAAUGUUUGCAAGGGAAAUGGGUAGUGUGCCAUAUGUUGCAGGUACAACUUGGUUCUCGGAAGUCUGUAAAAUAUUUCUUUCCAACAUUGCUCUCGCUCUUGACAUUGAACGUGCCCUUCUUUAAAUUAACCGGAUUUAUGUCGUCCUGUUUGAAAAUGGCUGAAGCGUAUCGAUUUUUAAGGCAACAUUUCAAAAAGUGUGGAGGUCUGUUGUGCAAGUAUUCUGGGAUUGAUGGGUUGUACUUGCAGUAGGCGCUGCUCAGUCGCAGGUUUGCAUCCAAAUAGUGCUGAAGAACAUCGGGAAUGAAAGAUUCAACCAACAUCACCGCAAUACCAUACACAGAUUUGUCAAUACUUUGGGAAGGAAGUGUUGUUGCUGUUCAUAUGACAAUCCAUUCUUGCUUGCUGAAGCCCACCGUUUUAGCGCUUGCAACCUGUGAAAGUCGCAAACAUAAACCUGUACAUCGGGAAAACUUUUUUCUAUCGCGCCUAUUUCUGCUAAUGAGUAAUCCACCAUAAAAUAUUUUGGGUUCCAUACUGGAUUCCAUCCUUUUAUAAUAGCCAGAGCCUCUUCUAUGGCUUCUUCGGUCUCUGUCUGGCACAUAAAUUCAGCCACAACUUUGUAGCCAACGUUUGAAUGAACGCACACAAAGAAAAGCGGUAUUGCGUACUUUGUUGUUUUGUAUGUGGUGUCCAUGAGACACAAUUGUCCGCCAUAACGAAUCAACAUUCGUUGUUGCCAAUGCUCUUGAUGCACAAACAAAAACUUUUUAUCGUCCUUUGGAGGAAUAUCGUUUCUGGAAGCGUUAUCUCUUGUGCGGUAGAAAAACUUGCUGCUUGGAGAAUUCUGUUUCCAGGUUUCUACCUUCCUGCGCAGGGACUCUUGUUCGUCUUUGCAGUCCUUAAGGGACUCUAUUGCUUUUGCUACGUGGUUUCGAAUAUCCUUUUUAUUUGGAUAGUACCGUUUAUUUGUCCUGCGCGGUGUAGCCUUUUGUCCGUCUUGUGGAAAUAAAGUCUCUUCAACGUA